UAUAUCAAUUACUCAGGUCUACUGUCCCUUGAAGCUGUGAAAAAAUCAAACUUCUAAGCCAACGCAAUCAAAAGAUACGGCCGUUUAUGCCGCAAAUUUUCGACGCUUGCAAGGGAAUCAAAACCUACAGGGUGCUUCCCGUGAACUCAGAAUCUUGAAAUUUGGUACGAAGCAACGUCAUAUAGCAUAGAUAAAGGAAAAAUUACGAAAACCAUAAAUUUUUAGUUACAACACAUAAUAUAUAUUUUUUUAAUAAUUUUAAACUUACUACCCAUUUCCUCAUAAACGCGUAGAGGUAUUAAAUUGAAAUUCAUACCAAAUACUCAGGUCUAUAAUACCUUUAAGCUGUAACAAAAUCAAACUUCUAUGUCAACGCAAU